rnacentral:rRNA from 1 species
AGUGGCGGACGGGUGAGUAACGCGUGAGAAUCUGCCUUGGGGUCGGGGACAACCACUGGAAACGGUGGCUAAUACCGGAUAAGCCGAUUGGUGAAAGAUUUAUUGCCCGAAGAGGAGCUCGCGUCUGAUUAGCUAGUUGGUGAGGUAAGAGCUCACCAAGGCAGCGAUCAGUAGCUGGUCUGAGAGGACGAUCAGCCACACUGGGACUGAGACACGGCCCAGACUCCUACGGGAGGCAGCAGUGGGGAAUUUUCCGCAAUGGGCGAAAGCCUGACGGAGCAAGACCGCGUGAGGGAGGAAGGCUCUUGGGUUGUAAACCUCUUUUCUCAGGGAAGAAGCUCUGACGGUACCUGAGGAAUCAGCCUCGGCUAACUCCGUGCCAGCAGCCGCGGUAAUACGGAGGAGGCAAGCGUUAUCCGGAAUUAUUGGGCGUAAAGCGUCCGCAGGUGGCGAUUCAAGUCUGCUGUCAAAGCACGGGGCUUAACUCCGUAAAGGCAGUGGAAACUGAAUAGCUAGAGUGCCGUAGGGGUAGAGGUAAUUCCCGGUGUAGCGGUGAAAUGCGUAGAGAUCGGGAAGAACAUCGGUGGCGAAAGCGCUCUACUGGACGGCAACUGACACUCAGGGACGAAAGCUAGGGGAGCGAAUGGGAUUAGAUACCCC